GUGCCAGCAGCCGCGGUAAUACGAGGUGCAAGCGUAAUGGAUACUGGGCGUAAGCGCACGCAGGCGGUCUGUCAAGUCGGAUGUGAAAUCCCCGGGCUCAACCUGGGAACUGCAUUCGAAACUGGCAGGCUAGAGUCUUGUAGAGGGGGGUAGAAUUCCAGGUGUAGCGGUGAAAUGCGUAGAGAUCUGGAGGAAUACCGGUGGCGAAGGCGGCCCCCUGGACAAAGACUGACGCUCAGGUGCGAAAGCGUGGGGAGCAAACAGGAUUAGAUACCCUGGUAGUCC
rnacentral:rRNA from 1 species